rnacentral:lncRNA from 1 species
UUUGUAUCCAAAAUGUGUGAAGAACUCUCAAUAAUCAGAAAACUAACAGCUCCCCCCCAAAACAGGCAAGCCAGGUGUGGUGGUGCAUACCUGUAAUCCCAGCACUCAGGAGGCUGAUGGAGGAGAAUCCUUGAGCCUAGGACUUCGAGGACAUCCUCAAAGCCUACAUUCUUCUAUGAUCUUCUGACAGCAGCAACAUCAUAGGUGAAAAGUGGAUAACUCACUGACAGCUCCCUUUGCUCUACUUCCUGGCUGCCAUGGGUUAAGCAGAUUUCUUCUGCUGUGCCCUUCCACCAUGACAUUUCUGCCUUGGAGCCAGCUGACCAUGGACUAAACUCUCUGAAACCAUGAGCCAAAUAAACCUCUCCUGUCAGUUUCAGGUGUAAG